AUUGAACGCUGGCGGAAUGCUUUACACAUGCAAGUCGAACGGCAGCACGGACUUCGGUCUGGUGGCGAGUGGCGAACGGGUGAGUAAUACAUCGGAACGUGCCCAAUCGUGGGGGAUAACGUAGCGAAAGCUACGCUAAUACCGCAUACGAUCUAAGGAUGAAAGCGGGGGAUCGCAAGACCUCGCGCGAUUGGAGCGGCCGAUGGCAGAUUAGGUAGUUGGUAGGGUAAAGGCCUACCAAGCCGACGAUCUGUAGCUGGUCUGAGAGGAUGAUCGGCCACACUGGGACUGAGACACGGCCCAGACUCCUACGGGAGGCAGCAGUGGGGAAUUUUGGACAAUGGACGCAAGUCUGGUCCAGCCAUUCCGCGUGCAGGAUGAAGGCCCUCGGGUCGUAAACUGCUUUUGUACAGAACGAAAAGGCUCUGGUUAAUACCUAGGGCUCAUGACGGUACUGUAAGAAUAAGCACCGGCUAACUACGUGCCAGCAGCCGCCGUAA
rnacentral:rRNA from 1 species